AAAUAAGAAGCAAAUUAUUGCAUUUAGUUUCGACCUAAAAGUUAGAUGUCUUCAUCCUUAUUUU
rnacentral:tRNA from 1 species